rnacentral:tRNA from 2 species
AUUUAUAUAGUUUAAUAAAACAUUACAUUUUCAUUGUAAAAAUAAAAAAAUUUUUUUUUAUAAAUU